UCUGUAAAGUGACUCAGUGGUUAGAGCUUAGGCCUAGUGACCAGAAGGUCCCGGGUUCGAAUCUCUAGCCGGAG
rnacentral:tRNA from 1 species